GUAGGGAAUAUUGGGCAAUGGAGGCAACUCUGACCCAGCCAUGCCGCGUGCAGGAUGACGGCCCUCUGGGUUGUAAACUGCUUUUAUACGGGAAGAAAAAAUACUACGUGUAGUAUACUGACGGUACCGUAAGAAUAAGGAUCGGCUAACUCCGUGCCAGCAGCCGCGGUAAUACGGAGGAUCCAAGCGUUGUCCGGAUUUAUUGGGUUUAAAGGGUGCGUAGGCGGAUCUUUAAGUCAGUGGUGAAAGCCUGCAGCUUAACUGUAGAAUUGCCAUUGAUACUGGCGCUCUUGGGUGCGCUUGAAGUGGGCGGAAUGUGCCGUGUAGCGGUGAAAUGCUUAGAUAUGCUACGGAACACCGAUUGCGAAGGCAGCUUACUAUUUCGUAAUUGACGCUGAGGCACGAAAGCGUGGGUAGCGAACAGGAUUAGAUACCCUUGUAGUCC
rnacentral:rRNA from 1 species